CAAAAUCACUGAUUCUCCCGGCAUGCAUAGCAGGUUAGAAGAAUGCAUCAAGUCUUCGGAUAUCAGUGAAAAAGUUUUGAAACCAAAUUACGAGGAUGUAGAAAGAGCGAUCAAAAUAUUUUCACAUAAAAUCUAGAUGAUGUUUGUGUAUUCUGCUCUCCUUUUAUUCUCGGCAAAAACUGCAAAGUUUUGUUUGAAUGAGACACAAUUUUAUUAUGUUGUUCUUCAUACAUCUUCUCAGUGAAUUGAUAUCCAACUGAUAUAUAUUGUGUACAGACUUUAGUAGCUUUCCUUCUCUCCUGAUUUGUAAACUCUUGUAAAACAUACUUGUGUCAACGUUUGUAUUUUGAUGCAGUAUUGAAAGAGACUGAAGUGCCAUCCCUUAUAUAUACAUCUUUUUUUUCGUGAAUUGUUUGUGUACAGCAUAUCUGUGCUGGUCUUAAGGAGACUUGAUAGUGAAAUACAUGUUAUUUCUCCUUAAGUACUGUACAGAAAUUUGUAUUUAAUUGUUUUGAUUUUGUAAAGGGGGGGGUUAUUGGGUGGAUGAAACCAUUUGUAGUUCAUAAGUGCUAUACCUUUUUAUUUAAGUUCUUCUACUUGGUAUUCUCAUGUAUUUUUAAAUCAUGAGUGUCAACAGUGCUAACAUUCUAAAUUUCACAAGUUUUUGAUGUUUUUUAUCCAUUUAAACAUGGCAGACAGAAUUUAGAUAUACAGUCCCAUGUUUUGUGUUAACUUUAUGUUGAUUUUCUGAAAAGCCCUCUGAAAAUACAAGUCUCAAUUUAUAAAUUAUUUAGUCUGAGUGUUUGAUAUCUCUUCAUUAGUCAAAAGAUAUUUGCACUGAUGAAACAACAGUGGUCUGUUCUACCAGUAGAACUUUGUCUCAGAAUCAUGGUUUGAUAAUUCUGACUUUGUGGUUUAAAGACACAUUACACUUUGUUGUGUUAUUUCAAUUUUGUAAAUUGUGGGAAUGUAAGGAAAUGAGUGAAAGAUAGACAAUAAAUAGCUUGUAAUCU
rnacentral:misc_RNA from 1 species